CCUGCUCCUCCUUCCAAUCUCUGCUUCUCCCGGGUACCCCUCCGCCCUCCGUGGGGCCCGGGCUCUGCCCCUCCCCCCAGACCCUGCACCCUCUGCGGAUUGGUCCUCGGCCUGCUGGGGGGCGGGGCCAGAGGGCCCUGACGUCACUGGCCGAGGGGGGCGGGCGGCUGAAGGAGGGGGUGACGGGGCCCCGGCUCAGCACCUCGGAGAGCUCCCUCCCCGGCCUUGUUUUGCUCUGGCAUCGCCGCCAGGGGAGGGAGCGAGGGGGCCGGGCACCGGGCGCAAAGGCAGGGGGAUGGCCAUGGAAGGGUUGAGGGGCCCCGUCGGACAGAGGGCCCAGCCGUGAUCCAGCGACGGGUUUGGGGCUCCGGGAGGGGUGGGGGGCAGCGGGCGGCGGCAGCAGUGGCCGCACAUCUGGAUGGAAGCGAGCUUUGUCCAGACCACCAUGGCUCUGGGGCUGUCCUCCAAGAAAGCGUCCUCUCGCAACGUGGCUGUGGAGCGUAAGAACCUGAUCACCGUGUGCAGGUUCUCUGUGAAAACGCUGCUGGAGAAGUACACAGCGGAGCCCAUCGAUGACUCAUCGGAGGAGUUUGUCAAUUUUGCAGCCAUUUUAGAGCAGAUCCUCAGCCACCGCUUCAAAGCCUGUGCCCCAGCAGGUCCAGUGAGCUGGUUCAGCUCAGACGGGCAGCGGGGCUUCUGGGACUAUAUCCGGCUGGCCUGCAGCAAAGUGCCCAACAACUGUGUGAGCAGCAUCGAGAACAUGGAGAACAUCAGCACAGCCCGGGCCAAGGGCCGGGCAUGGAUCCGGGUGGCACUGAUGGAGAAGCGCAUGUCAGAAUACAUCACCACGGCUCUGCGUGACACCCGGACCACCAGACGGUUCUAUGACUCUGGAGCCAUCAUGCUGCGGGAUGAAGCCACCAUCCUCACCGGAAUGCUGAUCGGACUGAGCGCCAUCGACUUCAGCUUCUGUCUAAAGGGGGAAGUCCUGGACGGGAAGACCCCCGUGGUCAUCGAUUACACGCCCUACCUAAAGUUCACGCAGAGCUACGACUACCUGACGGACGAGGAGGAGCGGCACAGCGCCGAGAGCAGCACGAGCGAGGACAACUCGCCCGAGCACCCGUACCUGCCGCUCGUCACCGACGAGGACAGCUGGUACAGCAAGUGGCACAAGAUGGAGCAGAAGUUCCGCAUCGUCUACGCGCAGAAGGGCUACCUGGAGGAGCUGGUGCGUCUGCGCGAGUCGCAGCUGAAGGACCUGGAGGCGGAGAACCGGCGGCUUCAGCUGCAGCUGGAGGAGGCGGCGGCGCAGAACCAGCGCGAGAAACGGGAGCUGGAAGGCGUGAUCCUGGAGCUGCAGGAGCAGCUGACAGGUCUGAUCCCCAGUGACCACGCCCCUCUGGCCCAGGGUUCCAAGGAGCUCACUACACCCCUGGUCAAUCAAUGGCCCUCACUGGGAACGCUUAAUGGGGCCGAGGGCGCCAGCAACUCCAAGCUCUACCGGAGGUAAGCCCCAGCCAGGUGGGGCUUGGGCCUGAGAGCGGGUCGUCCUGGGGAAGAAGGGCUUCCUCUACCGGCGCACCAGCUCUCGCUCUGCCGCAGACACAGCUUCAUGAGCACGGAGCCGCUGUCAGCUGAAGCCAGUCUGAGCUCGGACUCCCAGCGCCUGGGAGAGGGCACGCGGGACGAGGAGCCCUGGGGUCCCAUCGAGACGGAGUUUCGCCAGGCUGGUCUCGAACUCCUGACCUCAAGUGAUUCACCCGCCUUGGCCUCCCAAAGUGCUGGGAUUACAGGGAAGGACCCCACGCCCUCCAUGCUGGGCCUCUGCGGCUCCCUGGCCUCCAUUCCCAGCUGCAAGUCCCUGGCGAGCUUCAAAUCCAACGAGUGCCUGGUGAGCGACAGUCCCGAGGGCAGCCCAGCACUGAGCCCCAGCUGAGGAACAGCAUGGGCAGUGCCAGCCCCACCUGCCAGGGGCCAUGGACACCUGCCACCUUUCUUCAACAAGAGUCCCCCAAUCCAGGCUACCCUUCCAGAGAACGCUACCCACCCAGCCAGGGUUCUCUCGGGGAAGAUCUCGUCUGCUCACCUUAGCUUUCUGCCUUGGCAGCACGGGCUGCGGAAGAAAGCACGCUGGGCCAGGAGGCAGGGGUGCCCAAGCCACAGGGAGCCCCUGGGGAAGCCUGCUCCAUUCUUCUGGUGACCUUGGCGCUCCUUCACUCAUCUCCCCUGCCCCCUCAGGACCUGGUGGCCCAGCUUCCACACCCCCACCUCCCAGUCUCUAGCCUCUCCAUCUGUCUGUGUAUGGCCUGGAGUCACUCCUUCCUCAGCCCCCAGGGCAAGAGAGCUCUGUGGGGGAUCAGGCAAAUAAAAACCAGAGGACUGA
rnacentral:sRNA from 1 species